GACGAACGCUGGCGGCGUGCCUAAUACAUGCAAGUAGAACGCUGGAGGAGGAGCUUGCUUCUCUGGAUGAGUUGCGAACGGGUGAGUAACGCGUAGGUAACCUGCCUGGUAGCGGGGGAUAACUAUUGGAAACGAUAGCUAAUACCGCAUAAGAGUAGAUGUCGCAUGACAUUUGCUUAAAAGGUGCAAUUGCAUCACUACCAGAUGGACCUGCGUUGUAUUAGCUAGUUGGUGAGGUAACGGCUCACCAAGGCAACGAUACAUAGCCGACCUGAGAGGGUGAUCGGCCACACUGGGACUGAGACACGGCCCAGACUCCUACGGGAGGCAGCAGUAGGGAAUCUUCGGCAAUGGACGGAAGUCUGACCGAGCAACGCCGCGUGAGUGAAGAAGGUUUUCGGAUCGUAAAGCUCUGUUGUAAGAGAAGAACGAGUGUGAGAGUGGAAAGUUCACACUGUGACGGUAUCUUACCAGAAAGGGACGGCUAACUACGUG
rnacentral:rRNA from 1 species